GUAUAAAUAGGGAUAAAUACGAUCAAAAAUUGUACAGUGGAUCUUGCAAUUUUGUUCAAAACAGACGAGAAAUUUCCAAAUCAAUCAUGACUUAUCUAAAGUUGGUGUUCCUCGUGGUUUUCCUGAUUGGUAUAAUGCAUAUGGUUAACGCAGAUCCAGAUCCAGAGCCAAAACCAUUCUUUGGUGGAUAUUAUGGAGAUGUUUCGGGUUUCGGAGACUUUUCAGACUUUAGUGGCGGUUUCGACUAAUAAACAACGUCAAAGAUCCUGAACUUUGCCAAAUUCUAAUAAAAAAAAACACUGGAUUCAACAAUUGGAUUAAGUUUAAUGAGAAUUGUUGUAUAAUCCCAAAAAAAAAUGAUUUAAUGAAAAAUUCUAAAUAAAUGGCAGCGCAAAUUAAAAAUAAAAUACAAAUUGAAUUUUAUUCUCUAUAAAUUAAUUGUUCGUCAUAGCUAUUUGUUUUAUAACAAUGUUACGUUGGAAAUAAUGUAAGUAAGGGUACCACGGAUUUGCUUCUUUAUAGAAUGCUCAAAAUAAAUCCCAAAAUUUAUUUAAAUAUCUCUAUGCAUUUGAAUUUUUAUUUAUUAUUAACAAAAAAUUUAUAAAAAGUAGGUAUAAAUUCGCAAGCAUGCGAUCUGUGCCUUGGAUCGCUUCAAAUCUAAUUUGGUUUGUCACAGAUUAAUUGAUUUUCUAAAAUAAAUAUGAAAUAAUACCUCCUUGUAAUCGUUAUAAAUGGUAAAAAAGCGAAUAAUUUUCAAAGAAAAGCCAUUUAUGAUAAAAAUCCUUUGUCCCUAUGUUACAAAACAUGCCGAAAAAUUGACUAAAAAUAAUUUUUUUUUAAUAAAAAGCUUGAUUCAGAAAUGAGAAAACAUUGUUUCUAAGGUGGAAGUUUUUUUUAACUUAAGAAAGUCUCAAAAGUUUUCUGCAUUCUCAUUGAAAAAUUUUGAGAGGUACUCUCAAAGCUCUUCUAAAAGACGAUAUUGCUUUAGGAGGAAAAGUUGUUUAAAAGCUUCCCAAAAUCCUUAUAAAAGCUAGUAGAAAUUUUUAAAAAUUCUUAAAAUCAGAUUUUGUUCAACGUUUCUCUGAAAAAUAAAAACAUAUUAAUCAAUUUUUAAUCUAAAUUGAAUCAUUUCGCGCUUUUUGGAAAGCUCAUAAGGUUCAUAAGAUUCAACAAAAGACCUUUCGAAGGCCAGUAAAAAAGGCAUUUUUUUUGUGAAAAUCCUCUAAUUGUGAGUACAGUGGGACCUCGAUAGAGUCACCUAAUUAUUUCCAGGCCUGUUGACUCCAUUGGAUUCGGUGACUCUAUCGGAGUCCGAAAAAAAUCAAUUAAAAUGUGAAAUUUUGAUAAUAAAGGGGUAUUAUUCUAUGUUUUCACAAGAUAAUUGAUAAAUUUAACAUGAUAGUAACAAUAUUUUAUUUAACCCUCUAACGGUGUUUUCUUUAAUAUGCGAAAAAAGUUCUAAAACAAUGUUUUCUAGGAUAAUUAUGAUCCAAUAAAGUCGAAAAAACCA